rnacentral:lncRNA from 1 species
UGUUAUUCUAUGAAAAAGAGUUUUAAGUUUUCAAAAUUCAAGUUGGAUUCAACUUAGGGUCAAACGGUGUUUUCAAAAAUCAUGAAGUCCAUUUUUGACCACUCAACUAUCACCUCGGUUUGGUUUCGACAAUUGAAUACUAAAAUCAGAAAUCUUUGACCAUUCAACUAUCAAAACCAUUUACAUUUCGCCAUUUGGUGAUUUUGAUCGGUAGUUUUACUGACGUGGCUGACAUAUGGCAGUGGGCUCCACAUGUUAGCUUGUUUACCUCUUUUCUCUCCUCUUUCUCCCUUCCUUCCCCCCUCUCUCCUCUCUCCUGC